CUGCCAUCAAAACUUUUUAGCUAGAGUAUGAUAGAGGAAAGCAGAAUUUCUAGUGUAGAGGUGAAAUUCGUAGAUAUUAGAAAGAAUACCAAUUGCGAAGGCAGCUUUCUGGAUCAUUACUGACGCUGAGGAACGAAAGCAUGGGUAGCGAAGAGGAUUAGAUACCCUCGUAGUCCAUGCCGUAAACGAUGUGUGUUAGACGUUGGAAAUUUAUUUUCAGUGUCGCAGCGAAAGCGUUAAACACACCGCCUGGGGAGUACGACCGCAAGGUUAAAACUCAAAUGAAUUGACGGGGACCCGCACAAGUAGUGGAGCAUGUGGUUUAAUUCGAAGAUACGCGCAGAACCUUACCAACACUUGACAUGUUCGUCGCGACUCUAAGAGAUUAGAGUUUUCGGUUCGGCCGGACGAAACACAGGUGCUGCAUGGCUGUCGUCAGCUCGUGUCGUGAGAUGUUGGGUUAAGUCCCGCAACGAGCGCAACCCUCACUUUUAGUUGCCAUCAUUUAGUUGGGCACUCUGAAAGAACUGCCAGUGAUAAGCUGGAGGAAGGUGGGGAUGACGUCAAGUCCUCAUGGCCCUUACGUGUUGGGCUACACACGUGCUACAAUGGCAUUUGCAAUAGGAAGCAAGAUGGCGACAUCAAGCAAAUCCUAAAAAGAUGCCUCAGUUCGGAUUGUACUCUGCAACUCGAGUACAUGAAGCUGGAAUUACUAGUAAUCGCGGAUCAGCGCGCCGCGGUGAAUACGUUCCCGGGUCUUGUACACACCGCCCGUCACACCAUGGGAGUUGGUUCUACCUUAAGGCAAGGUUUUAAACCCUUGACUACGGUAUAGUCAGCGACUGGGGUGAAGUCGUAACAAGGUAAC
rnacentral:rRNA from 1 species